rnacentral:rRNA from 1 species
UACGUAGGGGGGCUAGCGUUUGUCCGGAUUUAUUGGGCGUAAAGCGCGCGUAGGCGGCCCGAUAAGUCUGCUGUGAAAGUCCAGGGCUCAACCCUGGAAUGCCGGUGGAUACUGUCGGGCUAGAGUUCGGAAGAGGCAAGUGGAAUUCCUGGUGUAGCGGUGGAAUGCGCAGAUAUCAGGAGGAACACCUAUAGCGAAGGCAGCUUGCUGGGACGACACUGACGCUAAGGCGCGAAAGCGUGGGGAGCGAACAGG